CAAACGACUCUCGGCAACGGAUAUCUCGGCUCUCGCAUCGAUGAAGAACGUAGCGAAAUGCGAAACUUGGUGUGAAUUGCAGAAUCCCGUGAACCAUCGAGUCUUUGAACGCAAGUUGCGCCCGAAGCCAUUAGGCCGAGGGCACGCCUGCCUGGGCGUCACAC
rnacentral:rRNA from 1 species